UAGGGAAUCUUCCACAAUGGACGCAAGUCUGAUGGAGCAACGCCGCGUGAGUGAAGAAGGUUUUCGGACCGUAAAGCUCUGUUGUUGGUGAAGAAGGAUAGAGGUAGUAACUGGCCUUUAUUUGACGGUAAUCAACCAGAAAGUCACGGCUAACUACGUGCCAGCAGCCGCGGUAAUACGUAGGUGGCAAGCGUUGUCCGGAUUUAUUGGGCGUAAAGCGAGCGCAGGCGGAAGAAUAAGUCUGAUGUGAAAGCCCUCGGCUUAACCGAGGAAUUGCAUCGGAAACUGUUUUUCUUGAGUGCAGAAGAGGAGAGUAGAACUCCAUGUGUAGCGGUGGAAUGCGUAGAUAUAUGGAAGAAUACCAGUGGCGAAGGCGGCUCUCUGGUCUGCAACUGACGCCGUGCAGUCNAAGCA
rnacentral:rRNA from 1 species